rnacentral:rRNA from 1 species
AGAGUUUGAUCCUGGCUCAGGACGAACGCUGGCGGCGUGCCUAAUACAUGCAAGUAGAACGCUGAAGAGAGGAGCUUGCUCUUCUUGGAUGAGUUGCGAACGGGUGAGUAACGCGUAGGUAACCUGCCUUGUAGCGGGGGAUAACUAUUGGAAACGAUAGCUAAUACCGCAUAACAAUGGAUGACCCAUGUCAUUUAUUUGAAAGGGGCAAAUGCUCCACUACAAGAUGGACCUGCGUUGUAUUAGCUAGUAGGUGAGGUAACGGCUCACCUAGGCGACGAUACAUAGCCGACCUGAGAGGGUGAUCGGCCACACUGGGACUGAGACACGGCCCAGACUCCUACGGGAGGCAGCAGUAGGGAAUCCUCGGCAAUGGGGGCAACCCUGACCGAGCAACGCCGCGUGAGUGAAGAAGGUUUUCGGAUCGUAAAGCUCUGUUGUAAGUCAAGAACGAGUGUGAGAGUGGAAAGUUCACACUGUGACGGUAGCUUACCAGAAAGGGACGGCUAACUACGUGCCAGCAGCCGCGGUAAUACGUAGGUCCCGAGCGUUGUCCGGAUUUAUUGGGCGUAAAGCGAGCGCAGGCGGUUUGAUAAGUCUGAAGUUAAAGGCUGUGGCUCAACCAUAGUUCGCUUUGGAAACUGUCAAACUUGAGUGCAGAAGGGGAGAGUGGAAUUCCAUGUGUAGCGGUGAAAUGCGUAGAUAUAUGGAGGAACACCGGUGGCGAAAGCGGCUCUCUGGUCUGUAACUGACGCUGAGGCUCGAAAGCGUGGGGAGCGAACAGGAUUAGAUACCCUGGUAGUCCACGCCGUAAACGAUGAGUGCUAGGUGUUGGAUCCUUUCCGGGAUUCAGUGCCGCAGCUAACGCAUUAAGCACUCCGCCUGGGGAGUACGACCGCAAGGUUGAAACUCAAAGGAAUUGACGGGGGCCCGCACAAGCGGUGGAGCAUGUGGUUUAAUUCGAAGCAACGCGAAGAACCUUACCAGGUCUUGACAUCCCGAUGCUAUUUCUAGAGAUAGAAAGUUACUUCGGUACAUCGGUGACAGGUGGUGCAUGGUUGUCGUCAGCUCGUGUCGUGAGAUGUUGGGUUAAGUCCCGCAACGAGCGCAACCCCUAUUGUUAGUUGCCAUCAUUCAGUUGGGCACUCUAGCGAGACUGCCGGUAAUAAACCGGAGGAAGGUGGGGAAGACGUCAAAUCAUCAUGCCCCUUAUGACCUGGGCUACACACGUGCUACAAUGGUUGGUACAACGAGUUGCGAGUCGGUGACGGCAAGCUAAUCUCUUAAAGCCAAUCUCAGUUCGGAUUGUAGGCUGCAACUCGCCUACAUGAAGUCGGAAUUGCUAGUAAUCGCAGAUCAGCAUGCUGCGGUGAAUACGUUCCCGGGCCUUGUACACACCGCCCGUCACACCAUGAGAGCCGGGGGGACCCGAAGUCGGUAGUCUAACCGCAAGGAGGACGCCGCCGAAGGUAAAACUGGUGAUUGGGGUGAAGUCGUAACAAGGUA